GCUAGGCAUGGUAGCGCAUGUCUGUGAUCCCAGCUACUUGGGAAGCUGAGAUAGGAGAAUCACAAGUUUGAAGCCAGUCUCAGCAACUUAGUGAGACCCCCCCCCCCUUUUUUUGUGUGACCCUGUCUUAA
rnacentral:sRNA from 1 species